AUGGAAACUCGGAACCGCCGGGCGGCGCGUUCCUUCUCGCCCAGCCUUGCAAUCCAUGCCGAGAGGAAGGCAGUGCGAGCCCGCGCCAGCGCCCAGCUCCCGGGACAGGGUCGGCAAUGCUGCUGAGCAGAACUUGAUCGCGCCCCUUCCUCGCUGCUAGUGGAAGCGAUGCUGCACGGCACAGCUAGCGCUUCCCCGGCUCUCCUUCAAGCUGAAGGUUACCGACCCGCGCAGCCAGCCCCAGCACUGUGAGCUGCGCGCCUCAGGUCCGGGCUCCGGCUGCUUGGCGGCGGCGCCCAGGGCAACAACCGGGCCACCCGCGCCGGGGCGCACUGCACCAGCGGCUUCGGCUUGGUGGAUGUGUAUGCAUGAGUUCUGCACCGAAUGGGCGCAAAAAGCGCCCCAGCCGGUCCACCCGCUCCUCGAUCUUCCAGAUCAGCAAGCCCCCGCUGCAGAGCGGAGAUUGGGAGCGCAGGGGCAGCGGCUCCGAGAGCGCCCACAAAACCCAACGAGCCCUGGACGACUGCAAGAUGCCCGGAAGAUGGUGAGAUCCAUCCAGAAAUCUGUCGGCUUUACAUCCAGCUGCAGUGCUGCUUAGAAAUGUAUACCACAGAGAUGCUAAAAUCCAUAUGUCUGCUGGGGUCUCUUCAGUUUCAUCGAAAAG
rnacentral:sRNA from 1 species